GAGUUUGAUCAUGGCUCAGGAUGAACGCUGGCGGCGUGCCUAAUACAUGCAAGUCGAGCGAACGGACGAGAAGCUUGCUUCUCUGAUGUUAGCGGCGGACGGGUGAGUAACACGUGGAUAACCUACCUAUAAGACUGGGAUAACUUCGGGAAACCGGAGCUAAUACCGGAUAAUAUUUUGAACCGCAUGGUUCAAAAGUGAAAGACGGUCUUGCUGUCACUUAUAGAUGGAUCCGCGCUGCAUUAGCUAGUUGGUAAGGUAACGGCUUACCAAGGCAACGAUGCAUAGCCGACCUGAGAGGGUGAUCGGCCACACUGGAACUGAGACACGGUCCAGACUCCUACGGGAGGCAGCAGUAGGGAAUCUUCCGCAAUGGGCGAAAGCCUGACGAGCAACGCCGCGUGAGUGAUGAAGGUCUUCGGAUCGUAAAACUCUGUUAUUAGGGAAGAACAUAUGUGUAAGUAACUGUGCACAUCUUGACGGUACCUAAUCAGAAAGCCACGGCUAACUAC
rnacentral:rRNA from 1 species